AACGCAGAUAGUGGAUGCCUUGGUCGUAUCUUCCGAAGAAGGACGUACAUAGCCACGAUAGUCGACGGGGAACUGCUACGAAGUUUUGAUCCGUCGGUGUCCGAAUGGAGCAAUCCUUCCUGAUUUAUAUCAGGAAACUUGUAAGCCAAAUUAUCCAAUUUAUUGGAUGAAUAACUUACAAUGAGGGAACCAUCUGAACUGAAACAUCUAAGUAAGAUGAGGAAAAGAAAUCAAAGAGAUUGCGUCAGUAGCGGCGAGCGAAAGCGCAAGAGCCUAAACCUUGUUCAUGUUUACAUGAGUGAGGGGUUGUGGGAGCCCAAUGUGGGAUUAGAAUUUAAUAGUAGAACAAUCUGGAAUGGUUGACCAUAGAGAGUGAAAGUCUCGUAAACGAAAUUAAAUUUUACCCUAGGGAAUUCCCAAGUAACAUGAGAUACACAUCUUGUGUGAAUCCGGGGGAACCAUCCUCCAAGGCUAAAUAAAGAUACGAACCGAUAGUGAACUAGUACCGUGAGGGAAAGGUGAAAAGAAGGGUGAGACACCCAAUGAAAUAGAAACUGAAACUAUCUGCGGUCGUGCCUAUUGAAGAAUGAGCCUGCGAGUUCUCGCUUACUGUGUGUUUAAAACGGUUUUACCGUUUAGGCAUAGCGAAAGCAAGUGUUAAUAGCGCGUAUAAACACAGUAACCGGGAGACCCGAAACCGAGUGAUCUAACCUUGAGCAGGGUGAGUCUUAAAGAAAUUUAAGAGGAGGCCCGAACCCGUUAUCGUUGUAAUGAUAUGGGAUGACUUGUGGUUAGUGGCAAAAUACCAACCGAACUCGGAGAUAGCUGGUUCUCCCCGAAAGGUCUAUAGGGACCGCGCCAUGCAAAAAGAUUAUCAGGGGUAAAGCUACUGGAUGGGUUAGCAAGGGUAACCGAGUUAACUCAACCAAACUCAGAAUACUGAUAAAAUAAAGCAUGGUAGACAGUCAUAUCGGGCUAAGCUGAUAUGGCUAAAGGGAAACAUCCCAGAUUUUCAGCUAAGGCCUCUAAAUCUACAUUAAGUUUAAAAGGAAGUUUUUUCUCUCAGACAGCCAGGAGGUUGGCUCAGAAGCAGCCACCCUUUAAAGAUAGCGUAACAGCUCACUGGUCGACUGAGAAGAAGCGCCGUAGUGCCGAAGCUAGAGAUGUCCUACUUUUAGUAGGGCGUGGUAGGGGAGCGUCCCAUAUGCAGUGAAGGCAAAUUGUAAGAUUUGUUGGAGUGUAUGGGAGUGAGAAUGCAGGCAUGAGUAGCGCACUAGACGGGUGAAAAUCCCGUCCGCCGAAUACCCAAGGUUUCCGUCGCAAGGUUCGUCCUCGACGGGUUAAUCGGUUCCUAAGGUGAGGUCAGUUUAACUGGCGUAGCCGAAGGACAAGUAGUUAAAAUUCUACUAUUUUUUGUAAGUCGUUAUUAAUUGGGGGUUCCCAAACAGGAAUACUGUAGCCUUCAUGUGAUGAGGGUUUAAACUGUGAAAUAGUUCUGAAUAGAAAAUCUAUCAGAAUGUUUAAUUGAGCAGUAAUGUAAAUUUCGCCGUGAGGUGAGAAAUUACAAAUAUUUCAGUUUGCAAGAAAACACUCGCAAUGAGACUUAUAAGAAGCCGUACCGCAAUCCGACACAGGUGGGUUGGUAGAGAAUACUAAGGCGAUCGAGAGAAGAAUCCUCAAGGAACUCGGCAAAAAAACUACCCGUAACUUCGGGAGAUGGGUUCCCUAACUUUUAGUUAGGGGCCACCAAAAGUUUGCUGACCGACUGUUUAUCAAAAACACAGGUCUGUGCGAAGUCGAAAGACGAAGUAUACAGGCCGACGCCUGUCCAGUGCCGGUAAGUUAAAGAGAGGAGUGGUACGAAUUUAUUCGUACUGCUUUGACCUAAAGCUCCGGUGAAACGACAGCAGUAACUAUGCGAAGUUCCUUGCCAGGUAAGUUCUGGCCCGCACGAAUGGCGUCACGAGUUAGCAACUGUCUUGAGGUUUCACUCGGCGAAAUUGCGUUGGCUGUGAAGACGCGGCCUAAUCCCACUUGGACAAAAAGACCCCGUGGAGCUUUACUGUAGUUUGGCAUUGCCUUAACAAUUUUUGAUUGUCUAGUAUAGGAGGGAGUUUUACGACAACAGUGUAAUACCUCUCGUUGGAGAUUGUUGGGCUUACUUAAUUCGCCUGAAGACGGCGAAGGGAAAAGUGCUAGAUGGGCAGUUUUACUGGGGCGGUACCCUGCCAAAGAGUAACGCAGGGGCACAAAGGUUAGCUUGUUACGGAUGGAAACCGUAAUUAAACUGCAAAGAGAUAAGCUAGCUUGACUGCAACACCGAAGGGUGGAGCAGGUACGAAAGUAGGUCUUAGUGAUCCCCCGAUCCUUCAUGGGAGGGACGGGGCUUAACUGAUAAAAGCUACCCCGGGGAUAACAGAGUAGUCGCCGCGGUUCGCUACCUCGAUGUCGGCUCAUGAUAUCCUAGGGCUGAAGAAGGUCCUAAGGGUUGGUCUGUUCGCCCAUUAAAAUCAUACGCGAGCUGGGUUCAGAACGGUAUCCAAUAGUACUAGAAAUAGUAAUAAUCUAUUGGUGGAGUCAAUCAGCAGGGAAGAUCAGCCGAUGAGGCUGAAACCCUCACACGAGAGGACCUGGAUGAAGGAAUCCCUGGUGUGCCGGUUGUGUCAUCAGACGCAGCGCCGGGUAGCUAUAUUCCUAAGGGAUAACCGCUGAAAGCAUCUAAGCGGGAAGCCUACCCAAAGAUUAGAACUCGUUAGUUUAAAAACUUGAAGACCCCAGGCAGAAUACCUGGUAUAACCGGCAGGAGGUGGAAGUCCCGUAAGGGGUUAAGCCUACUUGUACGGAUUGGUCGA
rnacentral:rRNA from 1 species